ensembl:lncRNA
CACAAAGGGUCGGGGUGCAGAGAGGGGCAGCGGCAGUGCCAUUUUGUGGGGCGUCUGCCUUGACAAAAUGGCUUUCCCCCCUGUCGUUUUGAGAGCUUUUCUUGCUUUAGAGCCAGGUUUUGCACCCCUUUGAACUACACAGGGUCUUCACCGCUGAAAUCUAACUUAAGUUGUGUGAGCAAAUCCCACUGCUGAGAGCUGCUAAUUAAGCAUAACUGAUGUGGUGAAGGAAAAGGACACGAGGAGCCUUCAAGCCCAGGAGGAUUAUGGUUGUCCGUCACAGCUCAGAAAGCCAGCAAUUCUGACAUAUCCCUUGUCUUGCAGAAGUCUCUUCCCAAGGCCAGCAUGCACCUCUGACUGGUGUGUUGGGAUGGGAUGGCCUCAUAACUUAAUCCACAUAUUCCUGCCUCCACAUCUCCUUGAUUGGGUAGGCACUUAUGCAGGUAGUAAAUGGAAAACUAAAUCCCUGACAUGAUUGCAUGGAGGUGGUUUAAGUCCAACCUGUUGAACUGAACAAUAUAAUUCAUGUUUUUCUUAAAAGGAGCAGUAUCUGGGCUUGUUAGCAUGUUCAUCUAAGGAUGUUCCGAAUGGGAUAAAUUUUAACAGAAGCAGAAGGAAAAGGGUAGUUUCAAAUGAAAGAAAACCUGAAGUAGCUUGACACAAGUCUAGGGAGGAAAGUUUCCCAUUAUGCUGUCCAGAAUGGCUUCUUUCAACACUAAAAGAGCUGAGCAUAAUUUUUGAGUGAAGUAGGAAGUUUUGCUAAGAUGCAUCACAUCUUGUGGUCAUAUGCUAAAAACAAAUAUCCCAAAGCUCUUGAUGAUGCAUCUGGCAUUUGUUCUCACUGAAUAUGUCCCAAGCCAGCCAUAUUUAUUGAAGGCACAUUCUUCCUUAGCCAGAUCAUGCAGAAAUUAAAACAAACAUCACCUAAAUAUGCAUCAUCUAAUUGGAGUAUUAAUCUGGCUAAAUUAGUUUAAACCCACUUGCUGUCUGCAGCUGAACUGAAAGAUUUGUAGAAGCAGGUAGAAGCUUCAGAGUCUGGAGAUAUACAGUACUUCUGCAUUUGAUUAUAUUCUCUAAAUUUACUCACAAUUUGGAGAGAGAUCAUAACUUACUUUCCAGGAACAGCAUUCAUAUUUUCCAUACAGUGCAUUAGUUUAAAAUGCAGAUUAUAUCCACAUUAAAUAAAGGGCAAGUUUUUGACAGAAUGCCUCUUCAACUAGUUUAUAAUCAGAAAUGUCACAUGUAACACUGAAAGUAAAACGUACACAGAGCAUUUCUCUUGUGACUGACACUUCCUUUUCACUCUUCUCAGGUUGUUUCAUAG